AAGUAUUUCAUUGAUGUAAAAAGUUAGCUUUACCAAUUAAAUUACAUAUGGCAGCCAAUGCGUAUUGUGACACAAUAUUAUUAUUAACUAACUUUAAAAAGGUUAUUUAAACUAAUAUUAACUAAAGUUAACCUUUAACUUUCACUUUAUCACAACACCAAUGUUUUAUAUUAUUAUUUAGCUAGGAAACUAGGCCAUAGGAAAUAGUAAGAAGGGGUGGCAAAAAUGGUGCCAGCAGCCGCGGUUAUACCAGUACCCCAAGCUAAUUAUAAUAAACCGGAGUAGCCUUUAACCAAGACUCCAAGAUUACCUUUUAGCGUAAAAACCAAAUUAUAACUAAACCCUAUCCAGUCAUGUGUAGACUACUCCAACAAACCAUAACCUCAGAACUCGGAUUAGAUACCCGACUACUGUAUGGCUCAACACAUAAAAGAAUACUACGAGCGAAAGCUUAAACCUCAAACAAUGUGGCGGUGCUUUAUUCCUCAUCAGGGGAUCCUGUGGCUUAAUUCGAUAACCCACGAAAAUCUUAGCUACUCUAGUUACCCAGUUUGUGUAUGGCCGUUUAUGCUUGCUCUCAAAGGAAAAAAAAGGAAGCAAAAGGGUUAAUUACCCAAAAAUUCAGGUGACAUACAACCAAUGAGUAGCAGAUCCAUGGGAUACAAAUAAACAUCCUAUCAAAUUUAAAGCAUUAACCUUUAAUGAAGGAGGACUUGAAAGUAAGAUUAUUUCCAUAAAAUAAAUCUGAAUAAGAACUAAAGCGCGCACAAAUCGCCCGUCACUCCGACAAUAGCGUAGGAUAAGUCGUAACAUAGUAGGGGUAAUGGAAAUUGCCCCUAUCACAG
rnacentral:ncRNA from 1 species